AAAUCGGCCCUUUUAAGGGCCACAAAAUUUAAAGAAAGAUGUGUCUU
rfam:Strigamia maritima strain Brora ctg7180001223517, whole genome shotgun sequence.